AGCUCCAAUAGCGUAUAUUAAAGUUGUUGCAGUUAAAAAGCUCGUAGUCCGAUUUCUGGUUUAAAGGAUCUGUCUUGCCUCACGGCAAGAACUGUGUCCCUUGAACCAUCCUUGGACGGAUCCUACCUGGUAUUAACUUAUUGGGUUGGCUAAGUUCAUCAUUUACUGUGAGAAAAUUAGGGUGUUCAAAGCAGGCUUAUGCCUGAAUAUAUUAGCAUGGAAUAACAAUAUAGGACCUCGGUACUAUUUUGUUGGUUUGCGCACUGGGGUAAUGGUCAAUAGGGAUAGAUUGUGGGUAUUGGUAUUCCAGUGUCAGAGGUGAAAUUCUUAAAUUACUGGAAGACUAACUACUGCGAAAGCAUUUACCAAGGAUGUUUUCAUUGAUCAAGAACGAAAGUAG
rnacentral:rRNA from 1 species